CUGCCUAAGCUAUAGAGUAUUUUUAAAAUUUAUUUCCAAUUAUUCUGUGGCUAUUAACAUCCAUGAUUGCUUUUAAAGUUCAAAAACACUGAACUGUCUAGAAACAUUAUGAAUAGUAAUAGUAAUACCGCUAAUUUUAUUUUCAAAUUUUGGUCAAUAAAGAGGAAAAUAAUAGAGUUAAGUAGUCAAAAGAAGUACUAAGAAAAGUACAAUCAUUCAUAUAUACAGAUAAUAUGAACAGUAUAGAUUCAAUCCUAUUUACACAUUUAAAAUAUAAAACACAUCCUAAUUUAUCAAGAUGCUGACCACAUUUAGCACCAGGAAAGAAACUUUAUGUUAGCUUUUGAACAUGACUUCCUAUCUUGUCAUAGGAAAAAAAAACUUU